rnacentral:rRNA from 1 species
UACGUAGGGGGCAAGCGUUGUCCGGAAUCAUUGGGCGUAAAGAGCGCGUAGGCGGCCCUGUAAGUCCGCUGUGAAAGUCAAGGGCUCAACCCUUGGAUGCCGGUGGAUACUGCAGGGCUAGAGUCCGGAAGAGGCGAGUGGAAUUCCUGGUGUAGCGGUGAAAUGCGCAGAUAUCAGGAGGAACACCGAUGGCGAAGGCGGCCACCUGGACCAGACCUGACGCUGAGGCGCGAAGGCCGGGGAGCGAACGGG